GCCCAGGUGGAGAAAUUGGUAGACUUGCUGGUUUUAGGAACCAGUGCCGCAAGGCGUGAGGGUUCGACUCCCUCCCUGGGCACCA
rnacentral:tRNA from 1 species